GUAGAGGGGGGUAGAAUCCAGGUGUAGCAGUUGAAUGCGUAGAAAUCUGGAGGGAUACCGGUGGCGAAGGCGGCCCACUGGACAAAGACUGACGCUCAGGUGCGAAAGCGUGAGGGAGCAAACAGGAUUAGAUACCCUGGUAGUACACGCCGUAAACGAUGUCGACUUUGAGGGUUGUGCCCAUGAGGCGUGGCUUCCGGAGCUAACGCGUUAAGUCGACCACCUGGGAGAGUACGGCCGCAAGGUUAAAACUCAAAUGAAUUGACGGGGGCCCGCACAAGCGGUGGAGCAUGUGGUUUAAUUCGAUGCAACGCGAAGAACCUUACCUGGCCUUGACAUCCACGGAAUUCGGCAGAGAUGCCUUAGUGCCUUCGGGAACCGUGAGACAGGUGCUGCAUGGCUGUCGUCAGCUCGUGUUGUGAAAUGUUGGGUUAAGUCCCGCAACGAGCGCAACCCUUAUCCUUUGUUGCCAGCGCGUGGUGGCGGGAACUCAAAGGAGACUGCCGGUGACAAACCGGAGGAAGGUGGGGAUGACGUCAAGUCAUCAUGGCCCUUACGGCCAGGGCUACACACGUGCUACAAUGGCGCAUACAAAGAGAAGCGACCUCGCGAGAGCAAGCGGACCUCAUAAAGUGCGUCGUAGUCCGGAUCGGAGUCUGCAACUCGACUCCGUGAAGUCGGAAUCGCUAGUAAUCGUAGAUCAGAACGCUACGGUGAAUACGUUCCCGGGCCUUGUACACACCGCCCGUCACACCAUGGGAGUGGGUUGCAAAAGAAGUAGGUAGCUUAACCUCCGGGAGGGCGCUUACCACUUUGUGAUUCAUGACUGGGGUGAAGUCGUAACAAGGUAACC
rnacentral:rRNA from 1 species